CCCCGGAGACCCCGCCCCAGGCCCCGGCCUCCCGCGGCCGCCCGGCCCACGCCACGCCACGCCACGCCACGCCACGCAGCGAGCAGCCGCCUCAGCGGGCGCCAGGGCGCCCCGGCCCCGGCCCCGGCCCCGGCCCCGGCCCCGGCCCCGGCCCCGGCCGUACCGCCGCCUGCAACCGUCACCCGGCACCGGCCGCGUCCUCCGUUGCCACAGUAACGAGGAGCCCGCCGCUCCGCCUCGCCCCGUGAGCCAAUGCGGCGUGGUGUCCGAUGAGCGGCGGCAGGGAGAGCCAAUAGUUUUUCGGAGCGGUGAGAGCCCGGCCGGCGCCUGGGCGGCGGGGCGAGGGGCGGGCGCAGAGCAGUUGCGUCACUGUCUACCGGCCGGAAGCAACGUAAAAAGCGUCCUCAGCGGGCGCGCGCGCCGUGCAGGGAGCGGGAGCUGGCGGCGGGGAGGGGCUGUCGCCGUCGCCGUCGGUCCGGUAGGUGCUCGGGGCCGCCGCCCCGGCCCCGUCGCCCUGCCCUGCCCUGCCCUCGGCCGGUGCCGCAGCCCCGGUGGGCGGCGAGCCGCGCCCCCGCACGUCGCUUCAGCCGCGGGCCGGGGCCGUGGGGCGCCCCCCCGCCCCCGAGGGCUGACGGCGGCGCGCCCCUUCUCUCGCAGGCCGCCGGCAGCCAUGAACCAGUUCAGCUUCGGGUCGGGCGCGGCGGGAGGCGGCUUCACCUUCGGCGUGCCGAAGACGGCCGCCGCCACCACGGCCGCGACGGGCUUCUCCUUCUCCACCUCCGCCGCCUCGGGAGGCUUCAGCUUCGGCACGGCGGCGCAGACGCCCGCCAGCAGCCAGCCGGCCGGGCUCUUCUCCCUCAGCACGCCGGCCAGCACCGCGCAGCCCGCCGGCUUCAGCUUCGGCACGCAGCCCGCCGCCACGGCGGCGCCGGCCGGGGCCGUGUUCUCGCUGGGGGGAAAGGCACCCAAAUUAAACUUGGGAGGCAGUAGCACAACUCAAGCUGCAGGUAUCACAGGAGGCUUUGGGUUCGGCGGCUCUGUACCGGCUAGUGCGCCCUCAAGGCAAGCAGCAGCCCCCUCUGGCUUUGUUUUUGGCUCUGCUGGUACCACCGCCACUACCACUCGGUCUGGGACAACUGGAGGGUUUACUUUUUCCAGUGGUAGUGCAACCCAGGCAGCAACACCCAGCUUCAGUAUCAGCACCGUAAGCAGUGCGGCCCCGCAAGCAGCGCCCGCGGGGUUGACCUUUGGAGCAGCGCCUGCUGCCGCUGCCACCGCUGCUGCCACCCUAGGAGCAACAAACAACACAGCCAGCAACUGCCUUCAGCCUUGGGGGACAGUGCUCAGGUGAGUGCCUGGGCUGGGAAUGUGGGCUGUAAUUGGGAAGCCUGCCGACAUGGAGGGCACCUGGGGGUGGUGUGUGAAGUUCUGAAGCCUCCUUCAGCUUUUGCUGGUGUGAAGUGAAACUCGUGGUCGUAAUACAUGCUUUCUUUUUUUCCCUAUUUAUCCAGGGUCUCUAGUUACAGACGCAAAAGUGCACCCAUUAGGGCCCAAGCGGAUAUGCAUGUAUCCGUUUGUUUCUUAACAUUACAGCAAUUGGCAGAACUUGUAUGUGUGUCUGAAUUAGUGAGUUUGCCACCUGGCUAGGUCAGUCUGAAGCAAAGCAUCUGUUUAUGUGGGGAAGUUUCUCAGAACAGCAUCUCUUGGCUUAGCUGUUUCUUGUGAUAUUUGAGCUUAAUGCUGAGAUGAAGUAGCCUGUAGUCUUGCCUCCUUACAUUCUGAAUGGCCAGUCUUUAUUUUGUGACUGUGUAUGUGUGAAUUUGAAACCGGAGGUGAUAAAGGAAGACAAGUACAGUGUAAAAUGGCCCAGAAGGCAAGUGACUGCCGAGAUAACAGUGGGAUGCUCUCGUGUUUGAAUGUGCCUUGCAGGAUUUUGAAUGGCUUUGCUGUCAGUACUUUUUGGGCUGGUGGGGGUGGGGGUCUUCAUCAUUAGGGAUGGGGAUUCCUAAGCUGAGUGGUGUUUGAGAAGUAUUACUGAAGGGGUUUGGAGGCUGAGGCUGAAAUAAUUCUGCCACUGAAGAGAAGUGUCAGAGUUGCAUUUGAAGUGCUUGGAGAGUGUCUUUGGUGGAUUUGGGGUGGGGGUAUAGAGGCAGGGAUGGGAGUGGUGAGGAAGGGGAGUGCCCUGCCCAGGAUGCUGAACUGUUGCUGAACCCAGGCAACAAACCUGUUUCACUUUAACAGUGAAACUUGCGGGCCUGUUUGAGACAAGGACUAUAUUCCGUAAGCAGGGUGUAGCCUACUCACUGUUUUAUCCAAGGUGGUUUUGUUGACUGUGACGCGCCAAUAGAGGGGCGUCGGAGAUUCUUUCAGAUUCGGGUUAGUUGCACUGAACUCAAGAGAUCAUCAUUUGUCAAGUGUAAGAAUUUACUAGAGCUAAGCAGUUACACACAUACGACGGACACUGGACAACACUGAACAACUUACACCAGACCAUCUACAAGUCUAACAAAGCUAAAAAGUAAAGAACUGAAAACAGAAUGCACAUAUCAGAGCUCUGUGGUUAAGCCACAGAUGCACGGUACAGUGACCGUUCUCAGCCUUUCCUUGUCCUUAUGGACCACCUCUCCAGUACGGUUUUCCCCAGAUUGUUCUCAGCGUGCUCAAGCUAUGCUGGGAUGAUUCAGGUUCUCCCUGGCAGUUGCCAUCGGGGUGUCCCUGCUGAUGGGUGGGUUGCUGGGUGUGCAGGCCAAGUGAGGGUGAGACUGAGUCCACACAGAGGUAUGUGGCUUUCUUCUGUCCUUCAGAGGCUUAGGGUUUUUCAUCCAAUCAAACAGUGCCAGACCACGGUUACACAACAGAAGCGAUGGCCUCAGCCGGUAACAGGAUGGAUACCAACAGGGUGGUCAACAGACAACCCAGUUCCACGCUACCCAGAGGCUUACAGGGCGAGUCUGCAGUGUCACUUCUCCUUUGCUGACUAGGUUUGCUCAGCACUCAGGGGUCACUGGAGGUCCUCCCCAACGAUAUGCAAAACUUUAGUGCGGUUGGCUAUCUGAUAUACAUCAGUAGUAAUCUGAUGGAAAUGGUUAACAUAAAAACAGCAACUGUCAUUAGUUAAGGCACACACUGCUCCUUGAGAGGCUAGCAAACAGUCAAGUGUGAAAUGAUUCUGUACAGUAAUUUGGCCAAUAUUGUGUAUGUCUUCAUUUAAAAGCGUUAAGGCAUCGAUGGGUGUGUUUUCUAUCACUUCUGUGGUUACAGAUUCACUAUUGUUUUUUCCAGGUCAACUGCCCUCGCUGGGUAACUGCUUCCAUGGCUUGUAUAUCAGCAUUAUGGGGCCACAGCCCACACGCUAUUUCCAACUGGAGUGCAAGGAUUAUACUAAGGUAGCAAUACCAGGGAGCACGGCACCCCGAAAAUGAAUUUUGGAAUGUGGCUUUUGCUGCCUUGCCGGGGCAGUGUGUCAGCCCGAGAGCAAGGGGUGGGGGGGGGGGUCACAGCCGCCUUCCUUUCUUCGGGGAAAGGAAAGCCCCUGCCUGUCGUGGGGUCUAAAGCAGACGUACCCAUUUAAACACUCCCUUAACGUGCCUAGUGUUUUCCUGUGGCUACUGUUUUACUGUGGGGAAAUGCACGGAGCCAGACAGUCUCCCAGCCUGCUCCUGCGCAUCCUCCCUAGCUUUCGUCAGGCCCUGCAGAGGCUCGUCUGCACAGCCUGCCCGGCUCCGUGAAAGACCGCCUCCCCGCCAAACGGCGCUCAGGAGAAGCACGGCCUACAACAAACAGCCGGUGGCACUGAGGUCACGCCUGUGCAGGGUGACUGGGAAGGAGCUGGCAGGCCGCGCGCACGCUCAGCGGCCCAUUGUGAGGAGCUCCUGACACCUUCACAAGGUCUGCACGCCCGCCGGCGAUGUCACAGCACCGCCAGGGCAACCCAGGGCCCCGUUGCCGGGCAGGCCUCAUUUGCGCACACAGCUUUGGGAGUACCAGCAGACAUGGCUGGCUGCUCUGCCUUGGUGUGCCUUCUCCUGUGUACUCUUCUUGUACACGGGGUCCCCAUACCUGGGGAAAGAGAGGCUUCGGUGCUGUCUGAAGGUACGUACUCCGACGCAAGACCUCCUCUCCCCCACUAACAUUGUCUAAGGGUGAAUCUCCAGGGGCAAGGCAGCGCUCCCACGGGCCCCUACCAGCACCUGGGGGCACAGGCAGAAUAGGGGGCUCCCUUCCAAAGCUGAGAACACUUGAGGAGGAGCUCUUCUGCAGAGACGCGGCUUUCCACAGCCUUCUGCGCCGCCCUCCUGCGCUGCCCGCCCUGGGCACACACAAGCAUCUGCCGAGCCUCGGCCCAGCACAAGAGCGGGUCUCGCUCGUGACAGCAGGCUCCUGCUUCCCUUUCUCCCAGCGCAGGAAGGAGGGAGAGAGGAGGAGCAAAACGCACCAAAAGGAGCAGGGGGGAGAAGAGAAGAAUGGGGCGUUUUCUCAAUGCACGGCACCAAACUAGGAUACCACAUGGCAUCCCGCACGUGCUGGGAUGCCACGUCCCCACGGCUGUGAUGCGUGUGCCGCUGCGCUUGGGCUCUUCACGCUUCAGCCCUCCCCUUCCUACCUUUCACCUACCACAGCAUGCACGUUUAUAUUAAACGCUGAUCUCUGGCCACUGUUUUGCAGUACUCUCCCCCAAGGGUUCUGCAGAGGCUGACCCCAGCCCUCCAAAACGCAGAACUGUUGUCGUCAUCGUCGCCAACACUUUGACGCUCGUCAUCUUGACGUUGUUCUUUGCGUUCUGCGUUUGGCUCUACUACCGACUCAAGACCAGGAAAGAAAGGUAAUGUUUGAAAUUCACACCCCUUGCAAAGUGAUACACCUUGCACAGCAGCUUCCAAUGUGGGCAUGGCAACAAGAACAGCACACCUGCAAGGCAGCCAUUACACAGCUGCACAAAGUGCUUACCUGAAGCCCACAGGUACUCUCAAGGCUUCCCAGAAAGCUCCCAGGCCGGCAUUUUAACCCUUUCCCUGGCAAAUGGAACAGAGCACAAGUUCCCUCCUAGGGAGCGCGCUUCCUUUCAAAAGGACAACUAAAAAUCCUUUACCAUACCUCUCGGUACGAUUCCUAGGUCUCCAGAGGACGAUGCCGAGGCAUCCGCUUGCCACUACCGCUGCCACUGCGGAGAGGUGAGUUCUGUCCUGCCUCCAGGACAAAAAGCUCCAUCCGAGCAAGUCCCUUCAAACCUUCCCCUCUUCAAACUCGCACCAACACAAAGCUCAUCUGCUAAUGUGUUAUUUCCAGCUUCACAGCAGCCUGCAGUGUACCUGCUCCAGGUGUGCUUCUCCGAGCGCAGCAAGCCUAGAGCUCUGCAACAUCUGGGGCAAUGAAGACGACAAUCCGUAUGGCGGCCUUCUCCCAUCCCUGCCUCCUACACCGGGCAUGGGAGAGUUCAGCAGAAGCUCUUCCAGUGACAGGUAAUCGCCACCACAAAAGCAGAAGACACCUUGCUCAGGCUACGCUGCGCCCCUUUCAAGGGCGGGCUUGCUUUGGGGCCUCUGGGGGCAGCUUAAGGGCGUAUUCUCCUGCUCCCUUUCCCUUGGGGCUGGCCAGUGUGCCCUUCAGAGAGCUACUGCACACAACCCCGGCUUCCAUUUCAGUGCCACCACGCAGGAGGAGAACACCGCAGACGCAGGCGCGCCUGGCACGGGCAGGCUCGAAGCACCAACCGGCGACAAGGCCUGAACGGGUGGCAUCUCGGGCUGGGCACCGACACCAGGCCACGGCACCGUCCCUCCGCCCAGCCUGCCCGCACCGUGCUCCUCCGUCUCGGGCCGGUGCCAUCAUCGCGCCCGGCCACCUGCACGAGGAGGCCCCUGGGCAAUAAAGACGGAGAGGAGGCAGA